GGAAAGAGGGGGCCGGCGGGCGUGGGAAUACGGGGGUGGCGGGUGUGUGUGCGAAUUACGUGGCGGAAAGAGCUCGGAGGGGGGUUGUCGCGUUGUUCGUGAAAACUCACAGCUUAACGGUGGGCGGGCGGGCGAUACGGGCAGACUAGAGUACUGCAGGGGGGACUGGAAUUCCUGGGGUAGCGGUGGAAUGCGCAGAUAUCAGGAGGAACACCGGUGGCGAAGGCGGGUCUCUGGGCAGUAACUGACGCUGAGGAGCGAAAGCGUGGGGAGCGAACAGGAUUAGAUACCCCAGUAGUC
rnacentral:rRNA from 1 species